GGCGGGGCCGGGGUUCCUCAGGGAGGCGGGACUGAUAGCCGCCUCAUCCGCGGUCCAAUCGGGACCCAUCUGGGAAGGGCGAGCGUAAGGACCACAUGCGAUCUAGCCAGCAGGGCGUGCUCCUUCCAAACCCAGGACUCAGGUUUGCAGGGUUGGCCUGCUUUACAGAAAGGGCAACUGAGGCCCAAGGAGCGAGAUCACCUGUAGCCCCAAGUCAGAUAGUCCCAUUCACUUGUUCAUCUUUUAUUCAUUCAACAAACACUUUCGCAGCACGUACGGUGUGGGUUAGGAGUGGAGUAGAGGCAAACUUGGCAGUCCCUUAAGGAGCUGGGUCAAGCAGGACAGGAGAUUUCUCGGGGUCACUAACGCAUGAUAAAGGAGCCCAGAAUCGGGCUGUUUCCCCUUCCUACCUCAAAGCUUUCGUGGUUUUGCUAUUCCCAACCUGAAAUGCCUUCCUGUCACCCCCAUAUACCCAAGCACCAAUCAUCUUUAAAACCUCUGUCCUCAUCGUAGGUGAUCUUUCAGCAUCGUCUGACCCGGCAGUCAGGGUUUUUCUCUGUCUCACUAGCUGCUCCUCUUCAAGUGCCCAGCAUCCACCCCUUCUCUGCCUCUCCUGUUGGGGUGUUAGGGUGGCCCAUGGCUCUGGCCGGAUGUGCUUCUAUUCGACAGACCCUCUCCCAGUCAUGCUCUCCCAGGCUUUAAGCAGCAUCCACAUACUGGAGUGACUGCCAGAUCCGUAUUUCCAGGCCAGACCUCGCCCAGGAGGCAUCGCAAACCUCUCGGGGAAAACAAAGUGCUUUAUUCACCGCCCCCCAACCUGCUCCUCCACAUUCUUCUCUUUCUCAGUAAAUGGCCACUCUAUCCACGGGGCUGCUCAGGUUAAAAUCGGAAAGCGUCCUUGAGUGCAUCCUUUCCCUCGCCCCCUUGUGCAGUCCUUCCCUGCACUCCCCCAGCACGCACUGCCUCCCCUUUACAGCGUCAGCCGGAGUUUUCCGUCUGAGUGGCUGUCCCCCACCCCUGGUGAAGUGUGACCCUUCUAGGACAAGGCAGGGGCCUGACUGAUUCAUUUCUGUGUGCAGAACAGGGCCUGGCGCCCUGAAGGCACUCGGGGAAAGCUGGUAGAGGGAUGGAUGAAUGGGUAAGGUCUUGACGGUGACCGGGGUGGACCCCAGCCCCAUCUCCCUGCACACACACACGCACACACAUGCACUAACACACACACACACACACACACCCCACUGAAAGCCUGGCUUCCAAUCUGACUUGCCAAACAAAUUCCUGCGUGAACAUAAGAAGCCUCCCCACGUCUCCCCAGCCAGGCCCCAGUGUGGUUGGGGCAUGUACUCAGAGCUCAGGAAAUCAGACUCUCAGGGACGGAAGUAGUUAGGACAAAGGACAGCACUCCAGGCUGCCGGCUUUGGACCGUUGCCCUCUGCCUGACACGCUUUUCUCCCUGUGCCUGGCCAAAUCCUACUGACCCUUCAAGUCCCACCCUAAAGGUCACUUUCCCCAGGAAGGCUUCAGAGCCACCCCUGCACCAAGUACAGCUAUGGCAGACACACAUCAAGGCGACCCCCAAUGAGUCACGCCCUCGUGCCAUCCCCUCGACCUUGAGCGCAGGCUGAGCCUGUGACAGCUCCUAGCCGGUAGAAUGUGGCAGAGGUGACGGGCUGUCACUCCCAUGGACACGUUACACAGCAUAAGAAUUCAUCUUAACACACCAGAGGGAGAGGUUCUGCUUACAGACUGAGGAGCAGUCGCCUGCGUGCCGUCAGGGGGCCUUUGGAGAAGCCCACCUGGCGGAGGGUCUGUAGGACCUAAGGGCAGCCUCUGGCGGACAACCAGCAAAAAGCUGGGCCUGCAAUCACGCGGGCCCAUAGAAUUGAAUCCUGGCGUCAACCGGAACCAGCUUGGAAGUGAACUCCUUCCUAGUCGAGCCUCCAGUGUGGAAGCCCCAUGAGAAGAGAAAUGGAGCCUGUCUUUCUCAUCGCUGUGCCCAGCACGUUUUUGUUCGAGGGCAACUGGUUGCAGGCAGACCGGUCAGUCCUUCCCGGCCCCCUCUGCCCUGGCCAUGUUCCAUUACAGAGCCCCGAAUAGUUUCUUGCCUUCCCAUCCUCCCAUAUAGCCCAAGGUGGCCAUGUGACCUUGUCCUGGCCAGUGAGACAUAGUGGAAGGUGGCUGCAAGGUUUCUGGCAUUUGUGUCCCGGAGCUGAUUUGGACCAGACCGUGAGAGCUGAUUGCUCUUUGUUCAGAAAUUUUGCAAUUUACAAUUACCCAUGCUACCGAGGAUUUUGCAUCUACUGUAACUGGAUGCUGGAAGGACUGUAGAAUGGGGUGCAGCUGGCGUCUCUUCCCGUUUCCAAAGCCAGCGAUGUCACGUUGGCAGCUGGAGAGCAGAGGUGGUAGCACAAUUUGUGCCACAGAAAUUGGCAACUGCUACAAGUCAGGACUUCCUUCCUCCUGUCCGCCAGAAUGCCAGGAAUUGAAAAUUUGCCAGCACAUCGCUCGUCUCUAGGGACGACUUUCCUCUCUGGGAAAAGAAAUAGACACAGCUGAUACUGUUUCUUCUCAGCAGCAGGGAUUAUUACCUUGAACACAUGUGAUGUCUGGAGCUGUGGCAGCCAUCUCACCACCACGAGCAAAGUCAGCAUCAGAGAGAUUCUGACUCUUCCACCCUUGAGCCACUGAAUCAAGACCAAGAAUCACCAACCUCCAGAUUGUCUGUUAGGGGAAAAAACGUCUUGGAAACAUUUGCAGGACCACAGAGCUUUUAGAGUCGAGGAGAGUGACAAACAUUUUGGCAAGUGAGAAGUGCGGCUGUGCUAGCAGCUGAUGAAGGUUUCUGCUGUGGAGGGGCAGCCUGGGAGCCAAGAGAGACGACAGCAAGGAGCGGUGGCGACCUGGUAGCACGGAAAAUGAGAGUGUGGGCUGUGGGUCUUCACUCUGACAGUCACAGCUCGGUGAUCCUGGGCAAGAUCCAUAAAGUGGGCUUCAGAAGGAUCUGCCCCAUAGCAUCAUUGUGAGGACCCCAGGUGCUCAGAUGGGGCGAAGAGCUCAGGGAGGAAGAGCUGAGAAAUGCACACCGCUACGAUGCCCUUCACCUCCCGGUGACUGUGCCGGGGCAGGUGCCCGGCCUGGGUGCUGGGGGCCUGAAGCCCCUGUCUGUGUUCCCCAGGGAAGGCGGCUGGCAAGCAGGUUCCCUGCUGCUCACCGCUGGCUGUAGGGUGCCUCUGCUUCGCACUGCACCACCCACUUUCACCCUGCUGACCCCGGGUCCAGGCUUGGGGCGGGGGCGGGGGGAUCACCCUCCAGAUUUUUCUCCUGUAAAACAACUAAGCAACAUCUUCUAACUCAGUUGUUCCCGGAAGUGCUGCAUUUUGGGUUUUGGGGUCUGCUGCGUGAAGGAAACUGAU
rnacentral:lncRNA from 1 species